UCCCUGGUUGAUCCUGCCGUUAGUACUAUUCUUGUUUCACAGCUUAUUCCAUGCAUGUAUAAUUAUGAACUACCUCACACUGUGAAAAUGCGGAUGGCUCAUGAAAUAAGGUAUAGUUUCUUUGAUGGUACCCUACUACUCUGAUAACCGGAGUAAUUCUAGAGAUAAUAUGUUCACCAAGUCCCGACUCUUUGGAAGGGAUGCAUUUAUUAGAUAAUAGACCAAUGUGGGCUUACCUUCUUCUCCGGUGAAUCAUGAUAACUCGACGGAUCGCACAACCCUUGUGCUGGCGAUGCUUCAUUAAAAUUUCUACUCUAUCAACUUUCGAUGGUAGGAUAGAGGCCUACCAUGGUGGUGUUGGGUGACGGAUAAUUAGGGUUUGAUUCUGGAGAGGGAGCCUGAGAAACGACUACCACAUCCAAGGAAGGCAACAUGCGCACAAAUUAACCAAUCCUGACAUGGGGAG
rnacentral:ncRNA from 1 species